rnacentral:lncRNA from 1 species
GGACGUGCUCUAUUGAUUGUCUUAUAACUUCCAUCCCUUUGAAAAUAUUAUAAGAUUUAUUUUUUAUUUAUUUUUUAUUUAAUUCUUUUAUCAUUUGUUUUUUUUUAUUUCUAUUUGUUUUUGUUUUUUCAACUUUUUUCAGAAGUUUUCAUUCUCUUUUUCUCAAGGAUAUGAUAAGGUAAGUUUAGAAUUGUUUUUACAGAUGUUCGGAGUGCUUGUUUUUCUUCCUACAAUACAGGGUAAUCUAUUUUGCUCUACUACUCCCAUUUUUCUUUUCCUUAUCACGAUUGAAGAUCAUUGAAGUUUGACGCAUAACCUCAGCGCAUAUCACUUAUUGCUCCGCAUCACUGAUACAUGUUUGAAAUAGAAUUCAAGUAAAAAAAUAUUGAAAUUUGAAUUUGAAUUUGAA